rnacentral:lncRNA from 1 species
UUUUUUUUUUCCUCAUUCAUCUUUUAAAAAUGAAAUUCUGCUGUGUGUUACAACAGGGAUGGACCUUGAAGACCUUAUGCUAAGUGAAAUAAGCUAGUUGCAGAAAGAAAUACUGAACAAUUUCAUUGAUGUGAAAUAAUAAAACAGUCCAAUUCAUAGAAUCAAUGUAUAGGCUAGUGGUUACUAAGGGCUGGAGUGAGAACAGAAAUGGGGAAUCACUCAUCAGAGGGCAUCAAGUUUUAGUUAAGCAAAACAAGUUCUAGAUACAUGCAGUGUAACAUUGCACUACAGUCAAUAAUCAUAUGCUCUAUACUUAAAAUUUUGUUAGGAGGGCAGAUAUCAUGUGGAGUGUUCUCACCAUGAUAAAGCUAAAAGAAAAUAAAAGGUGAAUGAGAGGUACUUGGGAUGUUGUAGGCACUCAACACAUCACAUUAUUAUUCUUAUAGUCAAUGGGCUCUGCUAAGAGGGUUUAGCUUAGUGAAUAAGGAAGGGUUAGACCAGAAUUAAACAUACUGUGUUCAUCCUCCUGAUCCCUCAGUUUUUAUCAUCUGUAUGAUUAAAAUUAAAUAGAAUGAUACAGGACAUAUAGCACAGUGGCAGGUCCUAGCAUAUAGUAAGUAUAUUUGAAGCAUUUUUAAAAAAUAGGACAGUGUAAAGACUUUACCCUUUUCUCAUUAUCUGGAAGUUGACAACCUUCAGAUACUUUGACACAUCUCUCUUGACCUACUCCACUUUUCUUUUCUUUCUUUUUUUUCCCAACUCCACUUUUCCCUUUUCCUUCCUGCCUUGUCUUCCUUCCUAUUCCUCUGUCCUACUUCUUCUCUCUGGCUCUCAUAUACCAGGUCUUUCCAAUGCCUACUCCCCGUGUGUGUGUGUGUGUGUGUGUGUGUGUGUGUGUGUGUGUGUUGUAUGAGAGAGAGAGAGGAUGUUCCUGCUGGAGAAGGGAAUGGGUAGGUUCUCCUCCUAGAUAUUGCUGGUUAGAAGUGAGCCGUGGAAUGAAGGAAGGUGACAGACUCUGGUGACAGUAGCUGCCACGCAUUUCAGGACCUGAGAAGCAAUGGAGUAAAGAUCAUUAUUUUUUAUCUACCAUGGAAAUGCCAUAAUCUAGCCCUACCUCCUGCCUCAGGAGAGGACUCAGCUCUUGGCUCAACUAUCUUUGAUUGUGAGGAAAGCACACAUCAACCCAUAAUACCUAGGUAUCCAUCAGGCCUAGACAAACUGGCUUCUUUUUUGUAACCAGAAAUUAUUGACAACAAAUAUCUCCCAGAAAUCAAAUGUCAGUCAGCUAUUAACUUGAAGAAAAAAAAAAAAGCAUAUACAGUUCCUUAGUUUUUAAAUUUUUUAUAAUAUUUUAUUUAAAUUCAAUUUGCCAACAUACAGUAUAACACCCAAUGCUCAUCCCAUCAAGUGCCCCCCUUAGUGCCCCUCACCAGUCACCCCUUUCCC